GUGUUCGCUUUGGCAGCACAUAUACUAAAAUUGGAAUGAUACAGAGAAGAUAAGCAUGGCCCCUGCGCAAGAAUAAUGAAUUUUUCUGUUACAAAACUAUAUCU